rnacentral:tRNA from 1 species
UCCCGUUUGGCUCAAUUGGUAGAGCAUGGUGUUUGCAUUGCCAGGGUUGUGGGUUUGAUUCCCACGGGGGAC